rnacentral:rRNA from 1 species
AUACGUAGGUGGCAAGCGUUGUCCGGAUUUAUUGGGCGUAAAGCGUGCGUAGGUGGUCGUUUAAGUCCGUUGUGAAAGCCCUGGGCUCAACCUGGGAACUGCAGUGGAUACUGGGCGACUAGAGUGUGGUAGAGGGUAGCGGAAUUCCUGGUGUAGCAGUGAAAUGCGUAGAGAUCAGGAGGAACAUCCAUGGCGAAGGCAGCUACCUGGACCAACACUGACACUGAGGCACGAAAGCGUGGGGAGCAAACAGGAUUAGAUACCCUGGUAGUCCACGCCCUAAACGAUGCGAACUGGAUGUUGGGUGCAAUUUGGCACGCAGUAUCGAAGCUAACGCGUUAAGUUCGCCGCCUGGGGAGUACGGUCGCAAGACUGAA